AAUGUCAGAUAAGCAUUUUUUGUAAAGUGAGGUACAUAUAGAUCUUUGUUUGGUUUUUCCCGUUUUCAAACAAAUUUACUGGUUAAACAUUUUCCAAUCCAUUUUUAAUUGAAAGCAGCAAAACACUUUUAAAGAAAAACUGGAAAUAAUUAUAUUUCAAUUGCACAUUCACAAAAAGUAGUGGGUCCACAACACAAAGGGCAGAUACUAAAAUGGAAUUCUUGAGACGGUGCGAGCCAGUUAGCCAGAUAGUUGGGGCGCCUACUCCACGGUCACCGACUUGGCCAGGUUCCUGGGGCAGUCCACGUCGCAGCCGCGGAGCACGGCGAUGUGGUAGGACAGCAGCUGGAGCGGAAUCACCGUGAGCACGCCCUGCAGGCAGUCCACGGUCCUCGGGAUCUGCAGCGAACGCGUGGAGAAGGACAUGGUCUCGUUGUCGCCCUCCUCGCAGAUUAGGAUCGGUCUGCCCUUGCGGGACGUCACCUGCUGCAGUGCAUUCAUGCACUUGGUGUACACCGGAUCCCGCAGCACGAUCAUCAGCACGGGCAUCUCCUUGUCCACCAGGGCCAGUGGUCCGUGUUUCAGUUCUCCAGCCAGG
ensembl:ncRNA asRNA:CR46104 antisense RNA:CR46104